CCCUGGUUAGCUCAGUUGGUAGAGCGCUCCACUAGAAAUGGAGAGGUCCCGGGUUCGAUACCCGAAUCAGGCG
rnacentral:tRNA from 2 species